AUUGAACGCUGGCGGCAGGCCUAACACAUGCAAGUCGAGCGGUAGCACAGAGAGCUUGCUCUCGGGUGACGAGCGGCGGACGGGUGAGUAAUGUCUGGGAAACUGCCUGAUGGAGGGGGAUAACUACUGGAAACGGUAGCUAAUACCGCAUAACGUCGCAAGACCAAAGAGGGGGACCUUCGGGCCUCUUGCCAUCAGAUGUGCCCAGAUGGGAUUAGCUAGUAGGUGGGGUAAUGGCUCACCUAGGCGACGAUCCCUAGCUGGUCCGAGAGGAUGACCGGCCACACUGGAACUGAGACACGGUCCAGACUCCUACGGGAGUCAGCAGUGGGGAAUAUUGCACAAUGGGCGCAAGCCUGAUGCAGCCAUGCCGCGUGUGUGAAGAAGGCCUUCGGGUUGUAAAGCACUUUCAGCGAGGAGGAAGGCGGUGAGGUUAAUAACCUCAUCGAUUGACGUUACUCGCAGAAGAAGCACCGGCUAACUCCGUGCCAGCAGCCGCUGUAA
rnacentral:rRNA from 1 species